CUCAUGGAAAGUUCAAUCCUGGUUCAGGAUGAACGCUGGUGGCAUGCUUAACACAUGCAAGUCGGAUGGGAAGUGGAGUUUUCAAUGGUGGACGGGUGAGUAACGCGUAAGAACCUGCCCCUAGGAGGGGAACAACAGCUAAAAACGACUGUUAAUACCCAAUAGGCUGAAGAGCAAAAGGAGGAAUCCACCCGAGAAGGGGCUCGCGUCUGAUUAGCUAGUUGGUGAGGCAAUAGCUUAUCAAGGCGAUGAUCAGUAGCUGGUCCGAGAGGAUGAUCAGCCACACUGGGACUGAGACACGGUCUAGACUUCUACGAAAGGCAGCAAUGGAGAAUUUUUCGCAAUGGGUUAAAGUCUGACGGAGCAAUACUACUUGAAGGUAGAAGGCCCACAGGUCGUGAACUUCAUUUCUCAGAAAAGAAGCAAUGACGGUAUCUGGGGAAUAAGCAUUGGUUAACUCUAUGCCAGAAGCCGCUGUAAUAUAGAGGAUGCAAGCGUUAUCCGAAAUGAUUGGGCGUAAAGCGUCUGUAGGUGGCUUUUUAAGUCCGUCUUCAAAUCCAAGGGCUCAACCCUGGACAGACGAUGGAAACUACCAAGCUGAAGUACGGUAGAGGCAGGGAGAAUUUUUGGUGGAGCGAUGAAAUGCGUAGAGAUCGAAAAGAACACCAACGAUGAAAGCAGUCUGCUGGGCCGACACUGACAUUGAGAGACGAAAGCUAGGGGAGCGAAUAAGAUUAGAUACCCCAGUAGUCCUAACCGUAAACGAUGGGUACUAGGCAUUGUGCGUAUCGACCCGUGCAGUGUUGUAGCUAACGCGUUAAGUAUCCCACUUGGGGAGUACGUUCGCAAGAAUGAAACUCAAAGGAAUUGACAAGGGCCCGCACAAGCGGUGGAGCAUGUGGUUUAAUUCGAUGCAAAGCGAAGAACCUUACCAGAGCUUGACAUACCGCGAAUCCACUUGAAAGAGAUGGGUGCCUUCGGAAACGCAGACAUAGAUGGUGCAUGGCUGUCAUCAGCUCGUGCCGUAAGGUGUUGGGUUAAGUCUCGCAACGAGCGCAACCCUCGUGUUUAGUUGCCACCGUUGAGUUUAAAACUCUGAGCAGACUACCUGUGAUAAGCCGAAGGAAGGUGAGGAUGACGUCAAGUCAUCAUGCCCCUUAUGCCUUGGGAGACACACAUGCUACAAUAGACGGGACAAAGGGUCACGAUCUCGUAAGGGUAAGCUAACUCCAAAAACCCGUCCUCAGUUCAGAUUGCAGGCUGCAACUCACCUAUAUGAAGACGGAAUCACUAGUAAUCGCCGAUCAGCCAUACAGUGAUGAAUUCGUUCCCGGGCCUUGUACACACCACCCGUCACACUAUGGAAGCUGGCCAUGCCCGAAAUCAUUACCUUAAUCGCAAUAAGGGGGAUGUCGGAAGCAGGACUAGUGAUUAGAGUGAAGUCGUAACAAGGUAGUCGUACUAGAAGGUGCGGCUGAAUCACUUUCUUU
rfam:Gossypium raimondii Chr05_contig_227, whole genome shotgun sequence.